rnacentral:rRNA from 1 species
UAGGGAAUCUUCCACAAUGGACGCAAGUCUGAUGGAGCAACGCCGCGUGAGUGAAGAAGGCUUUCGGGUCGUAAAACUCUGUUAUUGAAGAAGAACGUGCGUGACAGUAACUGGUCAUGCAGUGACGGUAUUCAAUCAGAAAGUCACGGCUAACUACGUGCCAGCAGCCGCGGUAAUACGUAGGUGGCAAGCGUUGUCCGGAUUUAUUGGGCGUAAAGCGAGUGCAGGCGGUCUUUUAAGUCUGAUGUGAAAGCCUUCGGCUUAACCGAAGAAGGGCAUCGGAAACUGGGAGACUUGAGUGCAGAAGAGGAGAGUGGAACUCCAUGUGUAGCGGUGAAAUGCGUAGAUAUAUGGAAGAACACCAGUGGCGAAGGCGG